UAGAUCUACAUAAAUAUUUUACCAAGCAGUUUGACUUGAUUUUUAGAACCUGAAAUUAUUAAAGAAAAGGAGAAACCUCCAAAGAAAGAAGCUGUAAAAGAAAAGCCCAAACCUGCUUCUGUAAAGAAAGAACCUGAAGUUCCAAAAGCAAAAGCAAAACCUGAACCUACCAAAAAAGAGGCAGAAGUUGCCAAGGACAAACUAAAACCUGUAGCUGUGAAGAAAGAACCUGCUGUUGCAGUUGAAAAGGCAAAACCUAAACCUGCACCAAAGAAAGAACCUGAAGUUACCAAAGAGAAAGCCAAACCAGAACCUGCAAAGAAAGAACCUGAGAUAACCAAAGAGAAACCCAGGGCACCAAAGAAAGGCAUGUAACAUUAUUUGUGAGAACAAUAAUGUUGUAUUAAUAUUUUCUCCUGUUAGGUUUUAAGACAAUGAUAGUGUUUUGCUUGCUUUGUUUUCAUCAUCACAAUGUAAGAGGCUGAAGUCAUCACACAGAAAUCACAUUCAACAAACACAUUUGAAA
rnacentral:lncRNA from 1 species